rnacentral:rRNA from 1 species
GACGAACGCUGGCGGCGUGCUUAACACAUGCAAGUCGAACGGAAAGGCCCUGCUUUUGUGGGGUGCUCGAGUGGCGAACGGGUGAGUAACACGUGAGUAACCUGCCCUUGACUUUGGGAUAACUUCAGGAAACUGGGGCUAAUACCGGAUAGGAGCUCCUGCUGCAUGGUGGGGGUUGGAAAGUUUCGGCGGUUGGGGAUGGACUCGCGGCUUAUCAGCUUGUUGGUGGGGUAGUGGCUUACCAAGGCUUUGACGGGUAGCCGGCCUGAGGGGGUGACCGGCCACAUUGGGACUUGAGAUACGGCCCAGACUCCUACGGGAGGCAGCAGUGGGGAAUAUUGCACAAUGGGCGGAAGCCUGAUGCAGCAACGCCGCGUGCGGGAUGACGGCCUUCGGGUUGUAAACCGCUUUCGCCUGUGACGAAGCGUGAGUGACGGUAAUGGGUAAAGAAGCACCGGCUAACUACGUG